UAAGGAAUAUUGGACAAUGGAGGCAACUCUGAUCCAGCCAUGCCGCGUGAAGGAUGAAGGCGCUCAGCGUUGUAAACUUCUUUUGGAUGGGAACAAAACCCCCGAUGCGUCGGGGACUGAGGGUACCAUCAGAAUAAGCACCGGCUAACUCCGUGCCAGCAGCCGCGGUAAUACGGAGGGUGCAAGCGUUAUCCGGAAUCACUGGGUUUAAAGGGUGCGUAGGCGGUCUGGUAAGUCAGUCGUGAAAUUCCCCGGCUUAACCGGCGGGACUGCGAUUGAUACUGCCAUACUUGAAUCAGGUUGAGGUAGGCGGAAUGUGGCAUGUAGCGGUGAAAUGCUUAGAUAUGCCAUAGAACACCGAUUGCGAAGGCAGCUUGCUGGACCUGUAUUGACGCUGAGGCACGAAAGCGUGGGGAGCAAACAGGAUUAGAUACCCGUGUAGUCC
rnacentral:rRNA from 1 species